rnacentral:lncRNA from 1 species
GGUUAUAAUAAUUAUUUGUAACCAGAUCAACUAAGUUGUAUUACUAUAGACUACCCACAGGGUGGGUUCAAAGGAGCUCACUUAAAAAAGGCAGAAAACCGCCCAAAAAGGGCAGCUGAGUAGCUCAGUGGAUUGAGAGCCAGGUCCUAGGUUCAAAUCUGGCCUCAAACACUUCCUAGCUGUGCGUCCCUGGACAAGUCACUUAACCCCGAUUGCCUGGUCCUUACUACUCUUCUGCAUUGGAACCAAUACAUAGUAUUGAUUCUAAAAGAGAAGGUAAGGGUUUAAAAAAAAGAAGGAAAACAAAAAAGUUUCUUGAUAGCCCAUAAACAGUUAAAAUAAUUCUCCUUCUCUUUUGAACGCUACUUUUCUUUAAGGUCCUGAAGUCUUCUAUAUCAAAGCACUGUUCUGUGGUUUAGACUCCUCUCAGAAUAUUUUGGGAUUCCCAUCCUUCUGUUCAUUUUACAGAUGAGGAAACUGAGGCAAACAAAAUUAAGCAACUUGCCCAGCAUCACACAGUUAGCAAGUGUUUGAGGCCAGAUUUGAACUCAAGAAG